rnacentral:lncRNA from 1 species
CUCAAAGGCCGAAAUAGGGAAAUGGGCUUUCAAGCCACUGGGAAUAGUAAAGGAAAUCUUUCCAGAGGAAGGAUCUUCGAUAAACAUGCCGGAAAUGGUGAUCCAAAUAAACAACUCCUUGCACUUAAUUCCUGUGAGUUUCUUAAUACCGCCAUUGUCUAUAAAAAAGUUGAUCUCUCUAUCGUACGAUACUACCUUAUUAAUCCGCUUAAAUUUGUGCUCUUUCUUGUUCUUCAGCUUCAUCCAGACCAGCCCAGUUGAUCGAUUUCGACCAAACUCUAUUAUUUCAACAGGUACGAUGCCCUUGGGCAAAGAUAUUUCCUCAAGCAGCUCCAAAAAUUUUUGCUUGCAAACAUCUUCUCCACAGUAAAUCUCAGCAUUUUCUCCGUGAGUCUCGGUAACUGAUGAUGGCAUUUUAAGCUCAAAGUUUGUUUGUUAAAAUGGGAAUUUCUGGGUCUUAUUUUAAACUCCUAGAAAGAAGGUUGGGUCUUAUUUAAAUUAAUCAAAGCAUUUAGUGUUGAUUUAAUUAACAUGCAUUAAUGUACUAAUUUGUAGGAUUAAUUGCCGUUGAAGUGUCUGGAAGAACUUAAUUUAGGUUGUGAGG